UUAUCACUCGUCGUUUCUGUCCUGUGUUACAGCUUCGAGAUGAACUGGGCUGCCGACUGUUGGUAAGACCAAAUUAUCUUCACGUAAAGCAGCAUUGCCACUGGUGUGAAUUUCUUCUUUUCGGUGAUAACAAUACAUUCGGGUACAGGUGUCGUAGUACAGUCGGCUUGCACUUUUUCUAUCAUUGACUCCAGACAUCAUUUAUGUCCGAUUAACUAGCAUAUACACAUGCGGAUCUGGCUAGUUCUAGACGAGGGUAUUAUAGCUGUUGGCAUUUCAGUAUGAAGAACCCCUUGGCUCGGCCUCACAUAUGCAGUGCUGUUCCGUGAAACGUAGCCAGUACUCAACGUGUUCUUUGUGUGGAUUAUGGCCGUCGCACAAGAGGAAGAUUUUGAUGCAGCCGGGCGCUGAGGAGCGUGACGUUGCGGGCAACGAGCACGAGCUGUGCAAUGACUGCGACGACCUUUAUGUGUGGUCUCAUCUUGCAUCUGACCCAAUAUGCCAUUAAGCGAAACAGAAAACUUCGUGCCACUAUUAUGUUUGAAGUGGACACUGCGACAAAAAGGCGGCUACGCCACGGCAAAGAACUUGCAUCAAAGGAAUCAAGAACCGAAGAUGCAUCUCGCCAUUAAAUCGAGAACUAUAGGGUACUGUGUGCGACUAAGUUAAGAGAUAAACAUUUUUAAGUGCAAUAUCAAGAGGUGCCGAAGAUGUGUUCCAAUAUCAUCCAGAUAAACGUGUGUGACAGUGCGACUAAGUCAAGCCAAGACUGAAACAUUUUUAAGUGCAGUAUCAAGAGACGUCAAAUAAUCUGCAUCAAAACAAUCGGCAGCUGAAGAUGUGUCUCAACAUUAAACCAAGAGAACCAGGCAACGGUGUGUGACUAAGUCAAGUCAAAGUGAAACAUUUUUAAGUACAAUAUAAAGAGUGAAAGUGUUUUCGUAUUGUGUAGCAUAAAAUAAAGAACUUUUGGAGUCUUGUUA